UCCGCGGAUAAUUCGCUGGGAUCGUCUGCCGGGAAGUUACUCUGCUUGGCGGCUGCUUGGUCAUGCCGUCCGGAGUCAAGUACUACGGCAGCUACUGCUGCGCUGCGUGGUGCAACAACAACGGCAGGACAGGGAGAGAGCGUGGUACUAAGUGGUUCAGGAUUCCGCGAGACGACAGCCCAGUCUACCAGUCCAUUUGUGGCAUGUGAGAGCUUUGUUGACAUGAGGUCUGACCCGGAGAUCCUUCAUUCAUGACUGCAGUGAACCUUUCCCACCUUAUGGUUCACAGGGUCAAGGGGUAACCAAAGCGGCUUCCAGGAGAACAUCCAGUCUAGUCGGGGGUGACGAGAGUGAGAGUGUAAAGGAGAGCUCCUGUUCCCUGGCACUGCCUGAAGGGACCCCAGUCGAGAGCCACAAGCAACCUGUGAAGGGUGCUGCGGAGACUCCUUGCUCUACUGCCCAUGAAGAAAGUCCAGUCGGUGGUGACGAGAGUGAGAGUGUAAAGGAGAGCUCCUGUUCCCUGGCACUGCCUGAAGGGACCCCAGUCGACAGCCACAAGCAACCUGUGAAGGGUGCUGCGGAGAUUCCAUGCCCUACUGUCAAUGGUGAGAUGCGGU